GAUGAACGCUGGCGGCGUGCUUAACACAUGCAAGUCGAACGGUGAAGCAGGAGCUUGCUCUUGUGGAUCAGUGGCGAACGGGUGAGUAACACGUGAGCAACCUGCCCCUGACUCUGGGAUAAGCGCUGGAAACGGCGUCUAAUACUGGAUAUGUGAUGUGACCGCAUGGUCUGCAUCUGGAAAGAAUUUCGGUUGGGGAUGGGCUCGCGGCCUAUCAGCUUGUUGGUGAGGUAAUGGCUCACCAAGGCGUCGACGGGUAGCCGGCCUGAGAGGGUGACCGGCCACACUGGGACUGAGACACGGCCCAGACUCCUACGGGAGGCAGCAGUGGGGAAUAUUGCACAAUGGGCGGAAGCCUGAUGCAGCAACGCCGCGUGAGGGAUGACGGCCUUCGGGUUGUAAACCUCUUUUACCAGGGAUGAUAAUGACAGUACCUGGAGAAUAAGCUCCGGCUAACUCCGUGCCAGCCGCCGCGGUAA
rnacentral:rRNA from 1 species